AAGGCUUUAAGUUAAAUAAACUAUUAACCUUCAAAGCUAAACAUAAAGUAAAUUCUUUAAGCCUUA
rnacentral:tRNA from 1 species